UGAAAAAGGAGGUGGGUACAGUUUAAGUGGUUUACCCUCCACUACCAACACGAUAAUUACACUCUCACUACUGAGCGGAAGCCGCCGUGGUCCCUUGCAGGUCCGGGAGAAAUUUGGUCUCUCCUGCCGCUCUCGAUCAUAGCAGCCACCAGCCUCGACGCUGCUCCUGGUCCUGCAUUCCUCUGUCCCCGGGCCCAUUGGAACAGCAUGUCCAGCACCAAGGCUCCCAGGUUGUCCCUGGAUGUGUCACUAGAGGUUUUUUUUAGCAUGGGGAGCAGUGGGAGGGACAGAUGAGCAUCAGUCUGUAUGUAAUCUCCUGCAGUGUCCCAGAUGGCUUAGUGAUGGCUGACAGUGCAGAUUAAAACAAUCAAAAUCCUCUACCAUUUCUCUCCCACUGCAGUAUUCCUUCACUCACAUUACAUCUCUCCAAUUCCCUCUUGUUCUCUUAGAGGCUUUGGUUGUGCUAACACGCGUUUGUGAACGCACUGGUUACGUCAUUCACUCAUGUAGAGAUGCUUUAAACAGAAAAUGUA